CCGAUGAGGUGGAAACGGACAGAGCUGGCGUAUCUGGCCUGUAUUCAGCCGCCGCGCGUCGGGCCCCGGUUUGCCGCUCUCCAGAUUGGGAAGGUGGCUGGGCUGCUGGCGUGUUGGUGGUGCAUUUGCAGGUGGUGCGCGCCGAGGCGCUCGGCUCAGCGGCAUGAGCUCGGCUUUGAGGCCAACCGCGCAAGCGGUCUGGUACCCGGGCCGGGGGAGUGUUGUUUGGGCUGGGUGUUCGCGUUGGACAAUGGUUUCGGGCCCGGGUGGGUGCCGAGCUGGCGGUCGGCGGCGGUCGCGUGCGACACGUGCCAGCAGUCAGUUCGGUCCUGCUCGAGCUCUCAUUUGUCCGGCCUCGGUGUAAAAGCCGGUCAUCUGUCCGACCCGUCUUGAAACACGGACCAAGGAGUUUAGCGUGUGCGCGAGUCAUUGGGCGUUGAAAACCCAAAGGCGCAAUGAAAGUGAAGGUCUGCCUUGUGCAGCUGAUGUGUGAUCCUGGGUGCUGCGGUGCCCGGGCGCAACAUAGUCCCGUCCCGACUGCUUGCAGUGGGGCGGAGACAGAGCGUACGCGCUGAG
rnacentral:rRNA from 1 species